AUUGGUUGACCGUAUGGUCUUGGUGCGUAUAGUACGGAUGGUCAUCGCUACAAUUUCAAAGUGGCUCUUUCCAAGGAAAAAUAUGGAGAUAUCAUAUUUGAGAGGAAAAAAUUAUUCCACGUACUUAAAGGAAACAAGGCAUAGCCCAUUUCCACCGUGAACUACAGCAGUGAGCUCUUCACCAAGGAUUUAAAGAAAAGAAGACCUUUGAACCAGCCGACGGGGUUUGAACUUGAGCCAAUAAAAAGUAGUAAGACUUCAGGGAUGCAUGCCGGUGUUAAUUGACGCAAGAGGGCGCUAUUCAAACUUAGAAGCAGUACAUUGUGUUAACCGGUACAUGGAUGGUUUGUACGAGAUGAACUCGCUUGUGGUAUUACCGAUAUUAAUGAUGCCAAUUAAUUUGUUACGAUUUGAACAUGAGAUACUGGAAUGUUGAGUUAUUCUGUAUUUUUAGCUUCUU